rnacentral:rRNA from 1 species
GUAGGUGGCAAGCGUUGUCCGGGAAUUAUUGGGGCGUAAAGCGCGCGCAGGCGGUUCUUUAAGUCUGAUGUGAAAGCCCACGGGCUCAACCGUGGAGGGUCAUUGGAAACUGGAGAACUUGAGUACAGAAGAGGAAAGCGGAAUUCCACGUGUAGCGGUGAAAUGCGUAGAGAUGUGGAGGAACACCAGUGGCGAAGGCGGCUUUCUGGUCUGUAACUGACGCUGAGGCGCGAAAGCGUGGGGAGCAAACAGGAUUAGAUACCCUGGUAGUCCACGCCGUAAACGAUGAGUGCUAAGUGUUAGGGGGUUUCCGCCCCUUAGUGCUGCAGCUAACGCAUUAAGCACUCCGCCUGGGUAGUACGGCCGCAAAGGCUG